UACGAAGGGGGCUAGCGUUGCUCGGAAUCACUGGGCGUAAAGGGUGCGUAGGCGGGUCUUUAAGUCAGGGUGAAAUCCUGGAGCUCAACUCCAGAACUGCCUUUGAUACUGAGGAUCUUGAGUUCGGGAGAGGUGAGUGGAACUGCGAGUGUAGAGGUGAAAUUCGUAGAUAUUCGCAAGAACACCAGUGGCGAAGGCGGCUCACUGGCCCGAGUACUGACGCUGAGGCACGAAAGCGUGGGGAGCAAACAGG
rnacentral:rRNA from 1 species